rnacentral:rRNA from 1 species
UACAGAGGGUGCAAGCGUUGUUCGGAAUUAUUGGGCGUAAAGCGUGCGCAGGCGGUUAUGCAAGACAGAUGUGAAAUCCCCGGGCUCAACCUGGGAACUGCAUUUGUGACUGCAUGGCUAGAGUACGGUAGAGGGGGAUGGAAUUCCGCGUGUAGCAGUGAAAUGCGUAGAUAUGCGGAGGAACACCGAUGGCGAAGGCAAUCCCCUGGACCUGUACUGACGCUC